rnacentral:rRNA from 1 species
AAUAUUGGACAAUGGGCGAAAGCCUGAUCCAGCCAUGCCGCGUGUGUGAAGAAGGUCUUCGGAUUGUAAAGCACUUUAGGUUGGGGGGAGGGGAAGAAAGUAAAUACCUUGCGGUUUUGAGGUUCCCGCCAGAAUAGGACCCGGCUACCUUCGUGCCAGCAGCGGCGGUAAUACGAAGGGUGCAAGCGUUAAUCGGAAUUACUGGGCGUAAAGCGCGCGUAGGUGGUUUGUUAAGUUGGAAGUGAAAGCCCCGGGCUCAACCUGGGAACUGCUUUCAAAACUGGCAAGCUAGAGUAUGGCAGAGGGUGGUGGAAUUUCCUGUGUAGCGGUGAAAUGCGUAGAUAUAGGAAGGAACACCAGUGGCGAAGGCGACCACCUGGGCUAAUACUGACACUGAGGUGCGGAAGCGUGGGGAGCAAAC